GUUUACCCCAGGCCCACCUGCACUCCCAACGGCCUGGCAGGGUCUGGAGCAGUCGGUCAAGGCCCAGCUGCCAGGCUGACUGGUUAAGAGAGAUUUCUAAAGCCACCACCCUGGGUUUUCUAGGACAAGAAAUUCACAGCCGGGAUCAGCAGUUUCUAUAGAGACCCCAGGAUGAGUCUGGCCAGAACCCAAACAGCCACAGAGGCCCAGGGAACCUGGCCAGAGACUGAAAGAGAUGGAGAGACACAAAGGCCACACGUGGAAGAGACACCAAGGUGCAGGGCAGACACGGGAAACGAGCCAGCCGAGCCAGCCCAGAGACCUAGCCCAGAGGCCGUGGCCUCCAGGGACCUGCGGAGCCACCUGAGGAAGGGAAGGGGUUCCCAACCCACGGAGGGUUGUCCCUUAGCCAGUUGUCCCUGCACGGGUCCCCCCUUUACAAUUGUGCAGAAGGCUGCUGGCUACUCUACUGUUUGGUCGUUUCCAUAGUAACCCUGUCCCUGGCAGGAUGCCCAAAUAUUAUUACAACCAUCCAGAGAAGA